rnacentral:rRNA from 1 species
GGAGGGUGCAAGCGUUGUUCGGAAUUAUUGGGCGUAAAGCGCGUGUAGGCGGUUUGUUAAGUCUGGUGUGAAAGCCCUGGGCUCAACCUGGGAAGUGCAUUGGAUACUGGCAAACUUGAGUACGGGAGAGGAUAGUGGAAUUUCGAGUGUAGGGGUGAAAUCCGUAGAUAUUCGAAGGAACACCGGUGGCGAAGGCGGCUAUCUGGACCGAUACUGACGCUGAGACGCGAAAGCGUGGGGAGCAAACAGGAUUAGAUACCCUGGUAGUCCACGCCGUAAACGAUGGGCACUAGGUGUCGCGGGUAUUGACCCCUGCGGUGCCGAAGCUAACGCAUUAAGUGCCCCGCCUGGGGAGUACGGUCGCAAGACUA